rnacentral:lncRNA from 1 species
CAACCACAUUUCUUCCCCGAAAAGAAAAUUUAGACUGAUAUUUGUCGGGCCAAGAAAAUUUAGACUGAUAUUGUAGGGCUCAGAAAAUUUAGACUGAUAUUGUGGGGCUCAGAAAAUUUAGACUGAUAUUGUAGGGCAACCACAUUACUUCCCCGAAAAGAAAAUUUAGACUGUAGGGCUCAGAAAAGUUAGACUGAUAUUGUAGGGCUCAGAAACUUUAGACUGAUAUUGUAGGGCUUUACCCCAAAGGGAGCCCUAUUGUAGGGCUAGGGCUCAGAAACUUUAGACUGAUAUUGUAGGGCUUUACCCCAAAGGGAGCCCUUCCAGAAAUUCUCGAAGGCCAAGGCUGAACCCAGGCCUAAGAGGGGGUUUGGAAAUAGUUUUCAACCAGCAAUAGACGCGCCUCGGUUAGAACCUCAUUAGCUGCGUCAUUG